UAAGGUGAUAUGAACCGUUAUAACCGGCGAUACCCGAAUGGGGAAACCCAGUGUGACUCGUCACACUAUCAUUAACUGAAUCCAUAGGUUAAUGAGGCGAACCGGGGGAACUGAAACAUCUAAGUACCCCGAGGAAAAGAAAUCAACCGAGAUUCCCCCAGUAGCGGCGAGCGAACGGGGAGGAGCCCAGAGCCUGAAUCAGCAUGUGUGUUAGUGGAAGCGUCUGGAAAGGCGCGCGAUACAGGGUGACAGCCCCGUACACAAAAGCGCAUGUGCUGUGAGCUCGAUGAGUAGGGCGGGACACGUGGUAUCCUGUCUGAAUAUGGGGGGACCAUCCUCCAAGGCUAAAUACUCCUGACUGACCGAUAGUGAACCAGUACCGUGAGGGAAAGGCGAAAAGAACCCCGGCGAGGGGAGUGAAAAAGAACCUGAAACCGUGUACGUACAAGCAGUGGGAGCCCCACCACCAAAGCAUUUGCUGUACCGCGUUGACGGAGCGAAGCGACGUCAAACCGAUAAAACAGCAGUGUAAAGUGAGCCGCAGGGCGCUUUGCGCGACAGCGCAAAGGCAGGCGGUUUCGCGUAGCGAAAGCGAAUGCUUUGGGGUGGGGUGACUGCGUACCUUUUGUAUAAUGGGUCAGCGACUUAUAUUCUGUAGCAAGGUUAACCGAAUAGGGGAGCCGGAGGGAAACCGAGUCUUAAUUGGGCGUUAAGUUGCAGGGUAUAGACCCGAAACCCGGUGAUCUAGCCAUGGGCAGGUUGAAGGUUGGGUAACACUAACUGGAGGACCGAACCGACUAAUGUUGAAAAAUUAGCGGAUGACCUGUGGCUGGGGGUGAAAGGCCAAUCAAACCGGGAGAUAGCUGGUUCUCCCCGAAAGCUAUUUAGGUAGCGCCUCGUGAAUUCAUCUCCGGGGGUAGAGCACUGUUUCGGCUAGGGGGCCAUCCCGGCUUACCAACCCGAUGCAAACUGCGAAUACCGGAGAAUGUUAUCACGGGAGACACACGGCGGGUGCUAACGUCCGUCGUGAAGAGGGAAACAACCCAGACCGCCAGCUAAGGUCCCAAAGUCAUGGUUAAGUGGGAAACGAUGUGGGAAGGCCCAGACAGCCAGGAUGUUGGCUUAGAAGCAGCCAUCAUUUAAAGAAAGCGUAAUAGCUCACUGGUCGAGUCGGCCUGCGCGGAAGAUGUAACGGGGCUAAACCAUGCACCGAAGCUGCGGCAGCGACACUGUGUGUUGUUGGGUAGGGGAGCGUUCUGUAAGCCUGUGAAGGUGUGUCGUGAGGC
rnacentral:rRNA from 1 species